rnacentral:rRNA from 1 species
AGUGAACGCUGGCGGUAGGCCUAACACAUGCAAGUCGAACGGCAGCACAGUAAGAGCUUGCUCUUACGGGUGGCGAGUGGCGGACGGGUGAGGAAUACAUCGGAAUCUACUUUUUCGUGGGGGAUAACGUAGGGAAACUUACGCUAAUACCGCAUACGACCUACGGGUGAAAGCAGGGGAUCUUCGGACCUUGCGCGAAUGAAUGAGCCGAUGUCGGAUUAGCUAGUUGGCGGGGUAAAGGCCCACCAAGGUGACGAUCCGUAGCUGGUCUGAGAGGAUGAUCAGCCACACUGGAACUGAGACACGGUCCAGACUCCUACGGGAGGCAGCAGUGGGGAAUAUUGGACAAUGGGCGCAAGCCUGAUCCAGCCAUACCGCGUGGGUGAAGAAGGCCUUCGGGUUGUAAAGCCCUUUUGUUGGGAAAGAAAAGCAGCAGGUUAAUACCCCGCUGUUCUGACGGUACCCAAAGAAUAAGCACCGGCUAACUUCGUG